CCUACGGGAGGCAGCAGUGGGGGAUCUUGCACAAUGGGGGAAACCCUGAUGCAGCGACGCCGCGUGUGUGAAGACGGUCCUCUGGAUUGUAAACCACUUUCCCCAGGAACGAAGAUGACGAUACCUGGGGAGGAAGCUCCGGCUAACUACGUGCCAGCAGCCGCGGUAAUACGUAGGGCGCAAGCGUUGUCCGGAAUUACUGGGUGUAAAGGGAGCGUAGGCGGGAUGGCAAGUUGGGUGUUAAAUCUACGGGUUAAACUGGUAGUCGCACUCAAAACUGCUAUUCUUGAGUGAAGUAGAGGCAGGCGGAAUUCCUAGUGUAGCGGUGAAAUGCGUAGAUAUUAGGAGGAACACCAGUGGCGAAGGCGGCCUGCUGGGCUGUUACUGACGCUGAGGCUCGAAAGUGUGGGGAGCAAACAGGAUUAGAUACCCGAGUAGUC
rnacentral:rRNA from 1 species